CCGCGGUCCUCGAGCCGGCGUCCCUCUGGGUACUUGAGGAGAGGCUGUCUGUGAUGAGUUCGCUUUAUUAAUGACGAAUAUAACACAGAUGGCCUGUUUUCAGUGCCACCCGCGACGCG
ensembl:miRNA MIR410 microRNA 410